UACGUAGGGUCCAAGCGUUAUCCGGAAUCACUGGGCGUAAGCGUGCGUAGGUGGCGUGUUAAGUGUGAUGUUAAAUCGUGUGGCUCAACCAUAUCGAUGUGUCGCAUACUGGCAUGCUAGAGGACAGCAGAGGCAAGUGGAAUUUGUAGUGUAGCAGUGAAAUGCGUAGAUAUUACAAGGAACACCAAUGGCGAAGGUAGCUUGCUGGGCUACUCCUGACACUGAGGUACGAAAGCGUGGGGAGCGAACAGG
rnacentral:rRNA from 1 species